AAAAGUUAAAUAAAAAUUGUUUACAUCCCAAAGACUGAAACAAUUUACAGUCGGCAGUUUCAUAGAACUGUCUGUCUUGAGUUAGACAACGAACUCUCUUUGUGUGAUUCUUUUCUUAUAAGUGUUGGGUCAUUGUUUGGCCUUUAAACCUUCUUUAAUGUGUAUUAAUUCUGAACAGUGACCAUAGCCAGUUUAUAAAUAAAUCAAUAAGUACUCCUCAAGGAAAAGACUGAAAGGAGGCAUUCUUUCCAGGCGAGGCUCUGCCCUGUUAUUCCAUGACAGAUCUCAAUUAGCUUUCUGCUGCCGCCAUGCAUUAGCGAAGUCGGCAGUGGGCACAAAGAACAUGCCCGUAAGUCCAGGGAAGAUUUCCAUUUUGUCUUCAUUUUUGGCGCUGCUGGAACAUUUCAGUCCAGGACACAUAAUCAGUUCGAGUGCAUGAAUAAAACUCUACUAUAUAUAGUAUGAGUGAAUUCCAGGAUGCAAACUAUAUAUAGUUGAGCUAAGAAAACAAGUUCAGUGUCAUGUUACUCAGCUUGGCAAUGUUUAAAACAUUUAACAGUCCUUUCCAGUCGUUCUUUGUUGGACGCUGGUCCUCAUGGUGCCUCCGUGGUGCACCCUGGCUCUCAGCUGGCCUGUUCUCAUAAGUCUCUUUUUGGACUUGGGUCAAGUGGGAGCUGCUUCUGUCUGACUUCCAUGUACCCAGAUGGCUCUAGGUUUUCUAAGCAGAAAGAGCUCAGGACAGCAAUCUGGUUGGGGAAUUGCCUGGAAUCUUUUGGCGGGUAACUUGGAGGGUGUGAUGGAGACUACAGAGGAGACAGGGUUGCAGAGCUCACCCCAGGCUAUGUUUUGGUGCUGCCGCUACCUGUUUACAUACCUGUUUUCUUAUCUUGCAGACACUGCUUAUUCUGGCAGGCACUUGUCCAGCCAGUGAAGCCAAGAUCACUCAACAGAAAGUCUCUGAGUUUUGUCUGAAUUGCCUGUUUCCAUCAGCAGGGCCAUAAGGGGUCCUGUGAGCAUUUAUUUGGAUACUGCAAGUGUCAAAAUGAACCAGAUGGUCCUUGUCCCAAGUUUUUCACAGUCUAGAGGGGAGUGGGGAAAAAGAAAUAUGCAAAAACAAACAAAAAUAAGACAUAUGACUACACCUUAUUGGUGCUUUAUAAAAGUAACAGUGUGGGCCAAGGGGACGUCCAUAUACCUCAGAUCACUCUAUUUGUAUCUCUCUAGUCUAGGACUUCCCGGGUGGCACAGUGGUAAAGAAUCUGCCUGCCAAUGCAGAAGAUGUGGGUUCAAUCCCUGGGUUAGAAAGAUCCCCUAGGGUAGGAAAUGGCAAUCCGCUGCAAUAUCCUUGCCUGGAAAAUCCCAUGGAAAAGGAGCCUGGCAGGUUACAGUCCAUGGGGUCGCAAAGAGACGGACGUGACUGGGCACGCAUGCAUGCUCAAGUCUAGAGCAACUCAUACUUCAUUUUUCCCCCACAUUCAGCUCAUUUCACAGAUAUUUAUUGAGUGUUGACUGCUUAUUGCUGAGGCUGGAGCUGUGUUGCACUUUCAUUCUGGUUUAAGAAUCAGAUAAUAAACAAGUCAACAAAUAAGACACAUAGUAAUAAAUCAAACAGGCUAAGUGUAGCUAGUGACUGGUCAUCCGGGGAGGGAAUGGACAUCAAAGGAGAAAGGUUGCAACCACAGACACCAAGAUCAGGAAAGGCCUUUUAGAAGCGGGCACUCAUGAGCUGAGACCUGAUUGGUAAGAAAUGACCAGCCAUGGGGAGAUCUCAGAGGAGAGCUCUGCUAACAGGUAAAACUGGAAGGCAGGAGAAAGUUUUAGGUGUUUCAGGAGUGGAAAGAAAUCCACAUGACCAGAACGUAGAGUGAAGACGGAGCAUGAGGUCAGAGAAAUCAGCAGGGCCCCAAUCAUGCAGGCUGGAGACCUUGUUUCAAUGUUAUUCUCAUUGCAAUUUAGAGAGGAGGAUAUACUUUUCCAGUGAUCAGAUACGCCCGUUUCUCAUCUAGGGUACUGUCUUCAGCAUCUAAAGAAAACAGUAAAUUAGCUGCUUGGUGAGGACAGAAUUAGAGCAAAAGUAGGGACUUCCUUGGUGGUCCAGUGGUUAAGAAUCCACCUUCUAAUGCAGGAGACUCAGCCUCGAUCCCUGGUCAAGGAAUUAAGAUCCCACAUACCAUGGGAUCAACCAAACCCAUGGACCCCAACCACUGAGCCUGAGUGUCUUAAGAGCUUGUGUUCCACAACAAAAGGAAUCCUUCGACCACAGCUGGAGAAAGCCCACGUGCUGCAAUGAACAAAGAAAUAGUGCAGCCAAAAAAAAAAAAAAAAAAUAGAGCAAAGUUAAAUGAAAGGUCUUGAGGGAUAUUUUACAUAGUUAUCAAAGCGUCCACACCAUUGGAGAUUUUUCCUUGUAAGUGUCAGCAUGUCUGUACCAGAUAGACUACCGUGCCUUGAACAAAUUUUCAUUCCUCAGGUUUCCUUCUCUUUUAGGGUUGAUUGUCCAUCUGUCUGUAUUCUUUAUCACACCACCACCUUUCCUCAUUGCUGUAGCUUUCAACAGAAUGAGGAUUCUCAGUUUGUAGAUAAAAUGUAAUCACCUCAAGAAUCUAAUCAAAGCCUGUUCUACUAUGGACCUUCAUUGGGAGUACGUAGUUAGAUGGUAUCCCAUCCAUGUUUAGUGAAUGAUCACCAACAUCAACCCAGAGAGGGAGAUCUCCCGACUUGGUCUUUUGGUCUGGAGGUGAAUCUUCCUUUCAGAUGUGUCACCUUAGAAUCACUAACCAUAAUGAAGAUGGUUUUGAUGUAAAAAUAGAAUCUUUCCCCAAAGAAUCUGUUCACCUAGCAACUUUAGAACCCAUACAAAACAAGGAGAAUACAGAUUUUUUCUUUGGGGAUCUCAUUUGCUCAUUCAAAUACGUGGAACCCCAAGCAGUACAGUGGGCACAGGGGUAAAACAGGUGCAUGAUGUACUUCUAGCCCCCAAGUCUAUACAGCUUUCAUAUGUAUCUCUGGUCCUUAAAAUGAACAAACUGUCUACUCAUAACCUGUGUACUUCUAACUGCCCCGGAUUUACAGGGUGCGCUCUCCAUGCAACUUACAAAUAUCUGCCUUCAAUUAUCUCCCAAGGACUAACAGCCACCACAGCCUCUGGUUUCUCCUCUCUCCUCCCUGUUCCUUCUUCCUGCCUCCAGAGCCCUAGUUGCUGUUGCCAUGACAACUGAAGUGAAUAAGCCUUGGAAUCUUAUCUCUUACUAUGGGUCCAUCCAUGUUGCUGCAAAUGGCAUGAUUUCAUUCUUUUUUAUGGCUGACUAAUACUUGUACCCAGCCGAUUUCAAGGAUAUGGGCCAUCUUGGAGUUUUGAUGUAACCUCUGCAACGUUUUGUUUUGUUCACUACUACAUUCCUAGUUGCCUAAUAGUGCCCAGUAUAUGGUAUCUCUUAUAAAUGGAACCAUACUUCAAGGAGAUGCAACCAGUCUAUUCUAAAGGAGA